AGUGAACGCUGGCGGUAGGCCUAACACAUGCAAGUCGAACGGCAGCACAGUAAGAGCUUGCUCUUACGGGUGGCGAGUGGCGGACGGGUGAGGAAUACAUCGGAAUCUACUUUUUCGUGGGGGAUAACGUAGGGAAACUUACGCUAAUACCGCAUACGACCUACGGGUGAAAGCAGGGGAUCUUCGGACCUUGCGCGAAUGAAUGAGCCGAUGUCGGAUUAGCUAGUUGGCGGGGUAAAGGCCCACCAAGGCGACGAUCCGUAGCUGGUCUGAGAGGAUGAUCAGCCACACUGGAACUGAGACACGGUCCAGACUCCUACGGGAGGCAGCAGUGGGGAAUAUUGGCCAAUGGGCGCAAGCCUGCUCCAGCCAUACCGCGUGGGUGAAGAAGGCCUUCGGGUUGUAAAGCCCUUUUGUUGGGAAAGAAAAGCAGCAGGUUAAUACCCCGCUGUUCUGACGGUACCCAAAGAAUAAGCACCGGCUAACUUCGUG
rnacentral:rRNA from 1 species